rnacentral:lncRNA from 1 species
ACAAAUAGCCCAUAAUCCACAAAAACUACUGAAGAGAUUUUAGCUAGCGCUGAAGCUUUAGAAUGAAAGGAUGAUGACAGUCAUGGUGGUUGGGGCGGCAAUGAUGUGUUGGCUACGAUGGGUGAUGGGCGAGUCUGAUGACUAGAAUGGUGGCAAAAGUGGGUGCAACAAUGAUGGUUGUGGUGGCGGUGUCACUAUGGUCGUCUAACGUGAAUUAAUGCAGAAAUGGGAGGCGCAAUGGUGGCAGCCGUUGUGGAGGUGACUGAUGGUGUAUUGUCAUUGUCAGUGGUGACUAGAGGCAAUAUGUGGGAUAUAAUGAAGAUGAAGGAAGGGAGGAGAGAGAGACAGAGACUAAGAGAGAGAAGGAAAGAGAGAGGUUUGAGUGGUAGUGGUUGUGGUGGCGACAUCACACAACGGUUGGAGACGAGGCAUGGGCUGGUGAAGAUGAAGGAAGGAGAGAGGAGGAGAUCAAGAUAAAGAGAGGUAUGGGCAGUGAUGGUCAUGGUGGUAGUGUCGCGGUCGACGAUAGGUGUGUGGGAUGACAAACAUGAAUGGUGAUGGUGCGGGGAGAUAUUCUUUGUUAUCUUGUGAACAAAAUUUCAUACACAUAUUUACUGUUUGGGAGGUAAACGUCAAGAAGCCAAAAAGUUGUGGUCAGGUGCUAAGGUGGGUGUGGAUGAACUGGAAUUUGAGUGGAAUCGACAAAAUAGGUGUGGAGAAGAGAGUGGAGAAGAUGGUAUGGAGGAUAGGCAGGGGUCAAAGAAGAGGUUGUGAAAGAAAUUGUGAGAGAAGGAAUUCUAAUAUAUUGAUGUGAAAUUUCAUGGAAGGAAUUGUUUUUCUUU